UUGAGAUGAUAGCAAAGCUGAUGAAUGAGUUGUUCAAAGUACCUAAUGAUGAUAAGAAAACAACAGGAGCCACAGGUCCAUUUGAGGAAAAUCUGAGAACAUCUUUCCUGUUAUCUGUGGUUGUCCUGCUGGUUGUGGUUGUGACUCGAGCCCAUAGGGCUGGACCAUAAUUUAAAAAAAAAAAAAAGUACAGUUAGGCUAACCACACAUCCGGUAAGGAACACUGCUCCUUUUGUACUCGCACAUUUAUAAGUAUUCUCACUGCAUUUAUGUUAGGGCUAAAGUUUGGGAUACUUCCUAAGAUCUCUCAGGUUGAAUGAAAUUCCUUUCAUCACCUUAACCAACCCCUUGAGGGUGACUUUACCUUAAUUUGCCGACAUAACGGGUGGUAUCCUUUCUGGGGUAUUUACUUUUGAGUCUUUCAUCUCAGGAUAUAGUUGUGUUAGCGCUUAUGGCUAUGCAUUUUUCUUUUUUUAAUUAUGGCUAUGUAAUUAAUUUUAAGUCCUUUUGUCUUGUUAAGAACGCCUCUCUGGAUAGUCUUAUUAAUGUCAACUU
rnacentral:misc_RNA from 1 species